rnacentral:rRNA from 1 species
GAUGAACGCUAGCGGCAGGCUUAAUACAUGCAAGGCGAGGGGGCAGCAAUGUCACCGUCGUACGGGUGCGUAACGCGUAUGCAACCUACCUUCAACUGGGGGAUAGCCCGGGGGAAACCCGGAUUAAUACCGCAUAAUACAGGGGGCCCUCAUGGGUCUAUUUGUUAAAGAUUUAUUGGUUGAAGAUGGGCAUGCGUUCG